GGGACAGAAGGACAACAUGGGGACAGAAGGACACACAUUGGUAGGAUGGGACAGGACAGGGUGGGAGGUGGGGUGGAGAGAACUAGAAUGAUAAAGACCAACACAGCCAAGGUCACAGUUACCCAGCUCUCCUGAAGGUCAUUUAUUGAGCUCUGACUGAGAGCAACAGGUUAGGGUAGAGAAUCUGCAACUUCCCCGAAACAAUUUCAAGGAAAAGGAAAGUAGGGAAAGUGAACACGUAUCCUCAGGGAUUUGGAGCCAUGACCCCAUGCGUUUCCUCUGGUGAAAUAAGGUCAGUCAGUCAUGCUCCUUUUUGCUUCAGAAAAAGCAUUUUCGUCUGUUUGUGUUGAAAGAACACUAACUGUGAAUUUAAGAAACUAGGAGGGGAGUGGGGACCAGAAAGGUUUCUAGCCUGCUCGUCCUGCACUCAGAAUCCCAGGUAUUUGAGGUAUUACCCCAACGAAACAAGGCUGCUUUUCUCAUGACCUUUAAACAUGUCAGAAAAUGUUUUGAGAAAUGACAGCAUUGUUAAAUGAACAUAUAGCCUCCUCCCAAGAAGGCAGCACUUAUUUGAAUAUUUAAGUUAAAAUUUAAACAUCUGUAACCGAAUGAGUGUUGUAGAUGAGGUUAAGCACGAAUUCCUUCCUUUGAAAAGUGAAAAAUCAUACCUGGGCCUCUGCGGUCAUUGAAACUAAUAGCACCCAGUUCCCGUACUGCCCAGGGCUCCUUCUGCAUAGGAACAGGUGGAGGAGGAUGGGGUCGAUCGAGAUAAAAAUCUCUUCCAUGAAUGUAAGUGAUAUGACUGUUUCUGAAUUCCCACAGUAAUUUAGGCGUACUGUCAGCGUGGGUUAGAAAUGGGGAGGAGAGGAUGGUGGAUGUAAAAUGCUUUAAUUUCCAGCUGUUUGCCUCAGAAUCUAGCUGAGUAGCUUGGAUGCAUAGAAGGUCACACGAAGGAGACGUUCACCUGCUUGCUUGCAAUGCCUCUUCCUUUAGGUUGAUCUUCCUCUCUGGUGUCCCCCACAGGGCCUUGCAUGGGCCACGGGACAAUUCACGUGCUUGGAAGAUUUCCCUGGUGACCGUUGGAGAGACGCGGGCGUCCUACAGCCUUGCCUCUGAGUGCCAGGACCGUGUUGACGCAGGCACAGCAGAGCAGGCCCUGACCUAAGGAGCUCGCCGUCUCUGGGGAGGCAGCGUCACAGGAUUACAUCAAGUUGACCAUGGUAAUGUUGGACAUGGCAAAGUGUUUGUCUAACGAGAACUGAGCUGGAUGAAAAUACCUGAAAACAAGGCAAAAUCAGCCAGGGUGGUGAUGAGGUAAGUGCUUUAAUUAGCAACAGAUUUCAUGCAGACCUUGGGGAAAAUUUCAAGAAGCCUUUUUAUGUUUUUAUACAAAGGAUCCUCUCUGUGAUGAUGUUGGGAAGGGCAAAUAUGAUGAAGGUUUUCAGAGAGUGAUGCCAAUAAUACAGUAAAUUCUUGACUCUUUGGAAUUCUAAACUAAGAGACAAGUACUUAUUUUUAUUUCACUGUGUUUUUCAAAAUAAUAUGCAAAAAUACUUAUUUUUCUGUGAAAUUUGGUUUCCUGUUAGAGUUCAUUUUAGAUGGCUGCUUUUGGAUAUCAGUAUCUCCUGUAUUUGCUAAUUUUCCAUGUUACUUCAUUUUUUUUAAUUUUUUAAUGUUUGUUUAUUUUUGUGCACACAAGAGAGAGAAAGCAUGAGCAGGGGAGGGGCAGAGAGAGAGGGAGACACAGAAUCCGAAGGAGGCUCCAGGCUCUGAGCUGUCAGCACAGAGCCUGACACGGGGCUCGAACUCAUGAGCCGUGAGAUCAUGACCUGAGCUGAAGAUGGGCGCUUAACCGACUGAGCCACCCAGGUGCCCCUUUUCCAUCUUAUUUCAAAAAGAAUCUAAGAUAUCUAACAUUCUUCAUUGAUUAUCAAUAUAUUUUAAGUUCUUUCCCACCAAAGGGAUCCAUUUCCUAAUACCUCUCUCAUGAUCCUCGUCUUUAAAAUCUAUUUUGCCUACUAAUUUGCAUUUUUAAUUGGCAAAUUUCCCACAUUAAAUAAGACAGUGUGUGUGUGUGUGUGUAUAUAUAUAUAUAUAUAUAUAUAUAUUUAUAUAUAUAAUUUAUUUUAGAAAUUAUAUAUUUAAAUUAUAUGUAUAAAUUUUGUACGUGUUAUAUAUACGGCUAUCAGUCAUGGACGUGACAAUUUUAUGUGUUUUUUAUAUAUAAAUAUGUGUGUAUUUAACAGUUUUAUAUACUCACAUCUGAUUAGCACUACACAUAGUUGCUAUGAUCAUAGCUAAAAGUCGAGGUGUGGGGGCACCUGGCUGGCUCAGUCUGUGGAGCAUGUGACUCUUACUCUCAGGGUUGUGAGUGCAAGUCCCACAUUGGGCACAGAGGCAUGGAGGCUGGGGAAGGGAAGGGCUUCCGGGAUGGGUGGGUAUCCAGGGAUUGGUCAAGACAUGGGAGCCAAGCUGUGAGGAGGGGGAGACUCCAGGAGGAGUGACUGACCUACCGAGUAAUAAGUCUCAGUCUUUGCAGAUCUAGGGAGCACAUUCUGAAUUUACGUUCCCUGGUUUGGGAGUCCAUUCAGGCCAGAGUUUUGGUGAGAACAGGGAAGGGAAGAGGGACUAUGGGAAACAUGCUGUACUUUAUUUUAUUUUAUUUUAUUUUAUUUUAUUUUAUUUUAUUUUAUUUUUAAUGUUUAUUAUUUUUGAGAGAGAGACAGAGUGCGAGUGGGGUAGGGGCAGAGAGAGAGGGAGGCACGGAAUCUGAAACAGGCUCCGGGCUCUGAGCUGUCAGCACAGAGCCCGAUGCGGGGCUCGAACUCACAGACCGCGAGAUCAUGACUGGAGCCGAAGCUGGACGCUCAACCGAUGAGCCCCCCAGGCUCACUGGGAAACGUGCCAUAUUUAAAUAGAUGGGGAACAGAAGGUGAGGAGUAACAACUAAUGCUUAUUUUUUGUCUCCCUUCACAUUCUCAGGGGAGACUGAACGUAUGAAUUUAUGCAAAGUUGUUUUCCUUCAUCUUUCUCUUCUGUCCAGAUCUGCUUUCUCUCUUCUGACAUCAGUGAGCUGGGCGGUAUCGUGCAUGAUGGUGAUGAUGACAGGUUGAUUAGUAGGGUCAGACCAAGUGUGAAAUCGUUCACACCACUGCUCUGUUUCCAGGAGCCACGGUGAGAAGACAUGUAGACGCAUAUCACAACACCGAGUUGUGUGCCUUCAUGUAUGGAAAUGAUUUUUGUCACGUAGACCUCAAUAAAGAAAACAAAUGAGCUUUACGCUUUGUUUCAAAGAGACUGCACGCUCUCUUGCUUAACAAGCCGUCAGCUCGGCUUUUCGUUCGGUGGCUUCUCCCUUUCAACAGCGGUAUCGAGGAUGAAAAGAAAAACAAAAAGUAUUCCUUUCCCUCAAGGGCACAUGACCUACACACGAAAGCCGUUACCGUGGCGUUGCCACGGGAGACGCGCCAACAGGAACCACAUGAGUGCAGGGGCCUCGGAGCUUCGCAGGGGGCCCUGGAGGAAGAGUGGCCGGGCUGCCCACACCUGCCCACACCCUCCCAGCAGCAGCCACAGGAAAUAUUCAUUGUGUCUCAUUCUGCCUUCUCCUUGCGGGAUCCAGCGAGGUAAUACGUGUAAACUAACGAGAGACGCGCCUGGGACACAGGGAGCGUUCUCCGCACGGCAGCCCCGGGUCACGUCUCAGCUGGCGCGGAGUGUCAUCUCCCAUGCGGCACUGUGGUUCGGCCAGGUUCCCGGGGGAUCAGGCAGCACAGACAGACAGAAGCUGGCUGUGCGCAUCCGAGCUGCGAGGCCGCCCAGCCGCUCCAAGUUCACUUCCUUCUCAUUUCAAGGUCGAAUGGACUUGCAGAAUUUGUCACCGUCUGCACACCGCCACUUCCCCAGGCACCAAGGCCGGGCUCUGAGCUGAUCCCAGACCCUUUCCUGUACCUUGUACCUCACGUCCCUCCUGCGUUCAGCUGGUGUUUAUUACAGCUGCCAUCAGUCCCGGGCAUGCUGGCAGGUGCGGGACCUGGGCCAGGCGAUCAGUCCCAGGCAGCACUCACCAGGGGUGGAGCCGGAACAGACAACAAGACCGAGUCUGUGUCCUGACAUCACUCCCGCUCUUUGUUGUCCAGUCAGGCACACCAUCUACAAACAAGAGGAAAUUAUACGGUCAGGUGACAAUCUGUACCCUGCAGAAACAUGCACACGGGUUAGGAAGUGGGGGGGCUUUAAGGAAACCUGACCGUGCCUGUCUCCCCGCAGCAUUUCUGCGCCAUGUCAUUUCCUUCCCAUCGUCCAGACCCUGGAUCAUUGGUUCUGUACCUCUUCGUGUCAUACUCGCGUCCCAGUGGACCGGCUGGACUGGCCGCGUCUUCCUCUGUGGCCGCACACAAGUGUCACAGCUCCUGCCCCACCACACAUGCACCUGCUUGUUGCCCAUGUGCUCCGCCCUUCCUGCCCUCACCCCCUACUGUGUCCCCGUCCCCCAUCCCCGCGGGGAUGCGACACCCUCCCUCCGCGGUCUUCCCUCCCCCAUGUGCACCACUGAAAUCCCUUCUUCGUAAACCCUGAGUUCCCCUUCUUCCCCUGGUUACAGCCCGUCCUGCACACUCUUCUCCCCUUCUUUCCUGACUCCGUCCCAGUCAGGCCUUGGACCUCAGCAGCGCUUCUGUGGAGGUCCCCAGUGACACCCGCCCUGUGGGUCCGGAGGGCUGUCGUCGGCCCCACAUGGUGGACAGACUCUCCCGACUUUGUUUCCAGACGCUGCAAGGUUCUUCGUUUCCCUCCUGCCUCCUGGGCUCCUCUCUCCCUCUUCCCUUGCUUUACUUCCAUCCCAAAGAUCGGGGUUUGGUUCCCUUGUGUGCAGUGCACUCAGGCUCUUGCUGUCAACGCUCAGCCCUCACGCCGUCUGUGUCCAGCCCGGGUCCCUCCACAAGUCCACACUCAGGGGUCCAGUUGGUCUCCAAACCUGCUUUCUCGCGUCCGCAUCUUCAUAGACGACGAUGCUGUCCAGACGCUCAAACCAGAACCUGGAGUUGUUACUCUCUUUCCCAUCCAACCCUCACAUCCUUCAAGUCUUGGCUCGAGGUCACCUUCCCGUUGACUCCUUUCCUGCCCUGAUUCAUUCUCCCACUUUCCCGGGGCCGACGUGCUGGCGUUGACUCGGUGUCUCGGCUGGGAGUGGAGGGAGGGAGCUUAGAGGGCUCAUAUUCCGACUUCCCCACGAAAGUGGUCCUUACCCCCCAGGCCAAGCCCCCACCGUGAGGUCUCCCUUUGGGGAUGAGGGACGUGCGUGCUGCGGUGGCCUGCAGAGCGGGUGGGCCCCUGUGAGCUGGCCUCCACUUGUACUCCGCCCUCUGCGGCCCUCUGUAAGGGGACCUGUGCUGUCACCUCAGGUCUCCAUUAUUCAUGUCAGACCCAGUGUUCGAGGAUUCUUCAAGUAUCUGGUCAUUCCCUUUCCCCAGCACGCAGCUAGGUAAGUCCACGGCCGCUGGUCUCUUGGGCUGGGGGGAUCUUUACCAUGUAGAUGUGGUGUUUCCUGGAGCUUCCUCUUGGGGAUCCGGCUUCUCUUUUGGUCAUUGGGUUCCAAGUUGGAAAACUGGUUCAGAUUGAGAUACUGGCAAAGAAUUUGUGACUUUUUAUUGAGCGGCUGGCUUUAACUUCCUUUUUAUCCAUCCUUGAUUUCUUUUGACUGUACAGAUAGAGUAGUCUGUCCUGUAUAGAGACUUUCUGGCUACGCAUCUAUUUUGCCCGUUAGGAGGCUGUGUUCUGUUACCUCUGAGUUUUCCGUAACUCUCAGUGCGUCAGGCUUCCCUGGCCUCCCCUCUCAUCUUGCCACUUGCCUUUUCCUCUUGUGAUCAGGUCCUAGUCUGGUCCUUGGCUCUGUCCCCGGUCCCCCUGCGGGCAGCGCGAGCCUCUUUCUAUGCUGCCAACGAGGCUCUCUGGUUUUCACAGUAAGCAUUUGGUUACUCUUGGCCAUUUGUUUUCUUUUUCCAAAGCCCGACUUCUGCUUCAUAAGAACUGCCCGUAAGUGACUAUUUCCCCCGUAUUUCUUGAACACCUGCUAUGUCACACCUAGUGCACAUCCAUCUAUAAAAACCCAUUCCGUUUUGUUAUUGGUGCCAGUUUUUACUAGUCCACUUACUGCCUGUGCUGGACUGUGUGUGUACCCUCAACUUCCAUGGAUGGGGUCCCCGUUUCCGAGUGGGUGGUGGCCGGUCCAGCCCCUACCCCAUCCCAGGUUUGUUGGUCCUUCUGGUACCACGCAAUGUGGGCUGGGGUCCCCAGGAGGCCCACUCUGAGCCAGCGGUCAGUACAGAGUAGGUAACCGGUGCAGGCUCUUGGGGUCACUUCCUAUAGACGGGAGGGGAGGAGGGCAGGAAGGACGUUUGGGUUGAGGGAGACGUUGAGCAGCAAAGCAGGGUCCCUAAAGUCAGGAGGGCCUCCGGGAUCGUCCAGAGUAGGGGUGUGGGCGCAGGGCCCAAUCUGGUCAGUGACUGAGGUGGCUUCUCUGGGAAGGCAGCAUGGCCCUCAUCACUCAGGCAGGCUGUGUGGGGCCACAGUGCUCCGGCGGCUGGCCACUGAGCCCUCCAUCAGGUGCACACGGUCAUCAGGUUUGCAUUUCCGCGGUUUUGUCCAGGGACUGGGGAACAAGAAGUGCCUGUGAGCUCUUUUCUGCCGCUGUUUGUGCCUGUCUCCCUGUAAAUCUGCCUUCUCUGCCUUAACGUCCCAGGGCCCUGAGGCCUGAAAGCUGCCAGCCCGGCCCCUCAGGUGCGAUGGAGCCUCUCUAGCAGCUGGUUUCUCCUGGACUGCCUGGGGCAUCG